CCGACUCCGCGCCACCGUCCCCGGCCACCGCCCCCGUGCAGGCCCCUGCGGUCCAAGUCUGCGAGCCUGCGCCCGAGGCCCCCUCCAAGAUGGAGCCCAAGCCUAUUGUCCCCAAAGCCGAGUCCAAGGCCAAGGCCCGCAAGACCGAGGCCAGAGGGCUGACCAAGGCUGGGGCCAAGAAGAAGGCUCGGAAGGAGGCGGCGCUGCUGGCAGAGGCGGAGGUGGAGGUAGAAGAGGUCCCCAAUACUGUCCUCAUCUGCAUGGUGAUCCUGCUCAACAUCGGCCUGGCCAUCCUCUUUGUCCAUCUCCUGACCUGACCUUCGUCUACCAGAGCCAGGAGUUCCGAGGACACCAUGAUCCAUCUUUUUGCAAUGCCCGGCAGGUGGCCAAAGAGGACAAGACUCUGCUCCUGGAGCCCCGCGCCCAGCUCACAUCCACACCACAGACGCUUAAGGAGGCCUCCCGGGGCCGUGCUGUGGGUUGGGUGCCAGAGGAGUAAAACAUCUGGGACCCCUCCAGGGGCGCUCUGCUCGGGGGCAAGGGAAGCCCUGAGGGGAGACCCCUGGUCUCUUGAGCUUCCUGAUCUGCUCCUGUCCCCUGUCCUCACCCACUCCUUCUCCUUGCCCCUUGUCACCCAAUCCCUGAGCUUUUGUGUGUUUUGGAAGAAGUCACUUAAGCAGGAUGUUGAUGUUCAAUGAUGUUCUCCCUCUUGCUCCUACCCCUCUCCCAUUUUAACUUAGUCCCCUGGCUGGUGGCCCAAGGUUGCCUGGGAAGCUGAGGGAGUACUGAAAUCCCUUGGACCGUGUUGUUGUACCCAGCACCCAGCUGGCCCUGACUUACAGAGGUUCUGGAUGAUGGUGGAGGAAAUGGACAAGUUCAGCUGACUAUCCCAGUAUGCAGUGCUCCGCCUUCCCCCACCAAUCCACUCAGCCUCCCUCCUGGCCCAGUAGAACAGGGGGAGACUGGGGAAUGGGAGCCUUUGCCUAGGAGGCCACUGACCCCAGGGGGCAGGGCGGGAGGAAGGGUAAGGUGCAGUUGUGGUGGCCCCUGUUUGUGGGUGUGUCUGAGGCUGGAAUUGCAUUUAGAGCUGCUGAUUUCCUUGGGGUCACUGUACAGAAGUUCUCGGGCCCAUGAGCUACAGCUCGUAUGAUGCCCUAUGUUGGCUUGUCCCCUUCCCCCACCAGGGCCACUAUGGGCUCAGGGAGGCAUGACAUGGAAGGGAGGCAGAUUUCCCUGGGCAGACUCUCAGGCGGGUGCUGAGAGAUCAGCCUGGUGCAGUCUGCACAAGAAAGCCCCUUCCAUGUGCUUGGCAAAUGACACAUGCACCUCACUUAAAGAUGUCCUCACCACACUGUGUCUGGGCCCUCAGGCUUGCUGGGGGGUGGCCUGGGGGCUAAGGGCUGUGGUUCCCUGUCUCCAGGAAGAAGGGAAAGAGCUCCCAGGCCCACCCAAGCCCUUCCUGGGGAAGGAUGUGGCCACAGCAUCCGAGCUGAGCUGGAGGUGCUGCUGCUAUUCUGUUUCUCUGGACUUUGGAGCCUCCAUGUGGUGCCAGGCUCCCCCCCCCCCAGGGCAGGUCAGGACUUCGUCAUUUGGAACAACUUUCCCUUCCCCCUUCUCCAUCCUUGGGAACCUUCCCCUCUAGCUUUGCACUUGCCCGUUUCCAGCUGUCACAGCCUCUAGCGUGGCUGGAAUCCUGAACUGUGCUUCUGCAGAGAGGAGCCUGCAGACGCCCCCAUCCCAGCCAGCUGUGGGCACCACUCUGCAUCUGUGUCUGGGCUUUUCUGGACUCCUAGAGAAUGAGGGGGUGGGGUAAGGCUCCUCAGGGCUGACAGGCUCCGGGCCUCAACUCUAAGAUCAUUGCUCUGGGUUUUUGGGUCUGGUCCUGUGCUGGGGACGAGCCUGUGGCUGCCAGAGCUGUGGGGCCUGGUUGGAACCGGUGUGGGGGUGGGGGCUCAGGUGCUACAGGCUGUGCAAUAAUAAACUUGUGUCUGCUCACAGGCUCCGUGGCCCAGCUGCAGUGUCUGCAUGUGGGCCAGGAUGAGGGCCUGGCGAAGGAGAGGCGGGGGAAGCUGGUCCUGCUGGUCUAGGUCCUCACGUGCUCAGAAAGUUCCCGUAAUGCUUUUUGAGGGGCAAUGAGGGGCUUCAGUACUGGAGGAGCAGCUCAGGGGCUAUAGACCUUGCACAGUGGAGUCUGUUUCUAAAGCAGACAUCCAGGAGCAAGAGCCUGCCCUUAGAGGAGGAAGACCCUUGGAUCCCAGUCCUGGCUCACUUUCUCCACUUCUCAGAGUCUCAGUUUUCUCAUCUAUAGAAUGGGGGUUACAACACCACCCACCUCCCUGGGUUACAGUGAGGGUUACAUUCAACGUUGACACUUACGUAUAACCCAGCUGUUGAGAGCAGCCGGGAGACAGACAGGCAUCCUUAUUGUCAUCAGGUCACAACACAGUCACCAUACCUGUCACACACCCUCUUGCAUUUUGAUGGAGGAUCCCCAAACCGUAAAGAGAUGGAAUCGCCUUAGGCCCCAACUGCACAGUCCCAGCAUGUCUCAGUCACAGGGAACCUCCAUGCCACCUCCACAGAGGCUCAGAGGAGAAGGGACCUGCCCCAAGUCACACCAGCCUGUGGAGGGACAUGGUUCUCUAGCUUGCUUGGGAACAAGCCCUAUCAUUAAGCUUCUCUCAGUGGGUGGCCUCAGCAAGUGGGCCGCAGGGUAGGGUCCCUCACCCACCGGCAGGCUCAGGCUCAAUGUUCAGGUCCUCAGGAGCCCUGGUUCUCUCCCAAGCACCUCCUCUGGCUUGGCAUGUGUCCCCGGCCUCCCUCCCUCUCUGUGCCUUGGUUUCCCCUUAUGCCAAGGAGACUGUCCAUGGCCUUCUUCCCAGGAAGUGCAGCCGUGAGGAUCAAAUGAAGUAGAUUUGGGGUGGUGAAGACUGCUUAGAGCCUAGGGAGCGUGGGAGGGCUGACUUAGAAUGACCUGGGACGGCUGGCAAAGAAGGUGGCUUCCUGAGCUGGGAUUGGAGACCCCAUCAGGUAAGGUUGGAUGGAGUCGGGCUCCUCCAGCGGCUCAGGACCCAGCCUGGCUGGUACCUCCCCUUCCAGCCUCGGUCCCUGGUGCCCUAGGAGAUUUAACCAGUCCCCUGCCAUGUUACAUUUGAGGUGUUCUGUACCAUGCUGGAACCACAGGGAAACCGUGGGCAUUGCUGGGACCUGCGAUCACUGACCACUACCAUGGGGGAGGAUUUGCCAGACUCUUCCAGGGCAGAGAAGGGGAAGGGGCUGGGAACUAUGGGAGCCAGAUGCAGGGUUUGCAGCAAGAAGGGGAAGUUCCAUGAUCUUUGAUGGACCCACAGAGGAUCUGGCUGUGCUGGUGGUGCAGGCCUAGAGAGGACCUUUGGAGGCCACAGCCUGACAAAGCCACACGGAAACCUGCCUCUCCCUUAUGGAACUCAAUAAAAAAACCCUAAAAUCUAAAAUGCAAAAUGGAAGUUUCCCGAAAUUAAAAGAGCUCAGAACUGUU